GAUGAACGCUGGCGGCGUGCUUAACACAUGCAAGUCGAACGGAAAGGCCCAAGCUUGCUUGGGUACUCGAGUGGCGAACGUGUGAGUAACACGUGGGUGAUCUGCCCUGCACUUCGGGAUAAGCCUGGGAAACUGGGUCUAAUACCGGAUAGGACCACUUCUUGGAUGUUGUGGUGGAAAGUUUUUUCGGUGUGGGAUGAGCUCGCGGCCUAUCAGCUUGUUGGUGGGGUAAUGGCCUACCAAGGCGUCGACGGGUAGCCGGCCUGAGAGGGUGUACGGCCACAUUGGGACUGAGAUACGGCCCAGACUCCUACGGGAGGCAGCAGUGGGGAAUAUUGCACAAUGGGCGCAAGCCUGAUGCAGCGACGCCGCGUGGGGGAUGACGGCCUUCGGGUUGUAAACUCCUUUCGCUAGGGACGAAGCGUUUUGUGACGGUACCUGGAGAAGAAGCACCGGCUAACUACGUG
rnacentral:rRNA from 1 species